rnacentral:misc_RNA from 1 species
UUGCAGAAGGUUUUGAACAAUGGCGGCUCUGCAGAGCUCCUUUACUGGUCUCUCCAUCUCCUCCACCUCCUUCUUCGGCCAACGCUUCUCUCCUCCUCUCUCCCUUCCUCUGGUUAAAUCAGCAGAAGGUCCAUGUUUGAUUACAGCAAAGCUUAAGCGAUGGGAGCGUAAAGAAUGUAAGCCAAACAGCCUUCCAGUACUACACAAAAUGCAUGUAAGGCUGGGUGAUACUGUAAAGGUAAUCUCCGGCCAUGACAAAGGUAAAAUUGGAGAGAUUACCGAGAUCAUCAAGCACAACAGCAAAAUAGUAGUAAAAGAGGUGAACUUGAAAACCAAGCAUGUGAAGAGUCGGAGUGAGGAGGAACCAGGCCAGAUAGUCAAGAUUGAAGCUCCUAUUCACAGCUCAAACGUGAUGCUUUAUUCAAAAGAGCAGAAGGUAGCCAGUCGGGUUGGUCACAAAACUUUAGACAAUGGAAAAAGAGUCCGGUACCUCAUUAAAACUGGGGAAAUCAUCGAUAGUGCAGAGAACUGGAAGAAAGCAGUCAAAGAGAAGGGGAAAACAACAGAAGCAGUAGCUGCUGCUUCCUAGGAGAUCCACUGGUCUGUAAAUUCUAGUUCGAUUUUGCUAAUUUUGAAUCUUCUCUCAUUGAUAUAUUAUGAUUCUGUUGUCACCUUCACCUUUUUAACUCAGUAACAUAAGAUUUUAUAUUAAAG